rnacentral:sRNA from 1 species
CCGGGACCCAGCUUGGCGACGGCAAUCGCGACGCGGGCCCCCAGGAUCUCCCGGCGCCCCACCUCUGGAGCAGCUCCUGCCGCCAGCGUCAGGUCCACCCGGAAUCAGGGACUUGCGGCGCCGAACGGACCCCGGCCGGGUGCAACGGGGUCCCCGGACUGGAGAAGACGCGGGUGGCACCGUGCGAGCUCCAGGAGCCCCGGGUCCACUGCGAGGCCUCGGGGGGCGCAGACCUGCGGAGACUGCGGCCAAUGGGAAGAAAUAAAGGGAUUAUAGUCCACCCAAUUCACAGACUUCUGAGACUCAGACACAAGGAGAGAUAGAGAACCACCAAUCUCUAGAUCAACAAGCAAAGGAGGUGCCAAGCCUGUUUGUCUUCAUUGUGACACUGGAGUCUGGAUGCUGGGAAGUCCAAAAUCAGGGUGCCGGCAUGGUCAGUUCCUGGUGAAGCCUCUCUUCUAGGUUUCAGACUGCCUUCCUCUUUGUUGUGUCCUCGAAUGGCAGAAAAAGGGGUGGCUGUUGGAGGAAGGGAGGAGAGUAAAUGAAGAGAAAGAACUGGAAUAACCCCUUGCAGAAAAAAAAAAAAAGGGUAAGAUUGACCCAGAAACACCCUCUGCCCCACUUCUAGGAGGGAGAGCUGUGAGAAAUGAACACAGAGACAGGGUCACACAGGGAGUAGGCAUGAAUGCUCCAAGAUGGUCAAAUGUGCACAGGCUCAGGAGAGGCAGUAUGCAACCUGGCUUCUGUCCCAUGGUGGGUGCUGGGGCGAUUUGAGAGCUGUAGGAGGAGACAAAGACACGGGGUCAGCUUUUGGAGCCUGGGCUGUAUAUGAAGAAACACUUUCUUCCCACCUGCGUCUUCUGGUCUUGUGUGUCUCCUCAGGAAGCAAGCUUAGCUGUACACCCUGAGUCUUGCAAAAGCUGCAGCCCCACCCAGGAGCAGGGUGGUGGCUGGGGCGAUGGUGGACGCCCUGAAGAUGUCCCAUGGCUACUGAAGGGGCUGCCCAGUUAGGGAACAGAGUGGCGGGCAUGGUGUGUAGCUUAUGGGUGCUGCUCCUGGUGUCUUCAGUUCUGGCUCUGGAAGAGGUAUUGCUGGACACCACCGGAGAGACAUCUGAGAUUGGCUGGCUCACCUACCCACCAGGGGGGUGGGACGAGGUGAGUGUUCUGGACGACCAGCGACGCCUGACUCGGACCUUUGAGGCAUGUCAUGUGGCAGGGGCCCCUCCAGGCACCGGGCAGGACAAUUGGUUGCAGACACACUUUGUGGAGCGGCGCGGGGCCCAGAGGGCGCAUAUUCGACUUCACUUCUCCGUGCGGGCAUGCUCCAGCCUGGGUGUGAGCGGCGGCACCUGCCGGGAGACCUUCACCCUUUACUACCGUCAGGCUGAGGAGCCCGACAGCCCUGACAGCGUUUCCUCCUGGCACCUCAAACGCUGGACCAAGGUGGACACAAUUGCAGCAGACGAGAGCUUUCCCUCCUCCUCCUCCUCCUCUUCUUCCUCUGCAGCGUGGGCUGUGGGACCCCACGGGGCUGGGCAGCGGGCUGGACUGCAACUGAACGUCAAAGAGCGGAGCUUUGGGCCUCUCACCCAACGCGGCUUCUACGUGGCCUUCCAGGACACGGGGGCCUGCCUGGCCCUGGUCGCUGUCAGGCUCUUCUCCUACACCUGCCCUGCCGUGCUCCGAUCAUUUGCCUCCUUUCCAGAGACGCAGGCCAGUGGGGCUGGGGGGGCCUCCCUGGUAGCAGCUGUGGGCACCUGUGUGGCUCAUGCAGAGCCAGAGGAGGAUGGAGUAGGGGGCCAGGCAGGAGGCAGCCCCCCCAGGCUGCACUGCAACGGGGAGGGCAAGUGGAUGGUAGCUGUCGGGGGCUGCCGCUGCCAGCCUGGAUACCAACCAGCACGAGGAGACAAGGCCUGCCAAGCCUGCCCACGGGGGCUCUAUAAGGCUUCUGCUGGGAAUGCUCCCUGCUCACCAUGCCCUGCCCGCAGCCACGCUCCCAACCCAGCAGCCCCUGUUUGCCCCUGCCUGGAGGGCUUCUACCGGGCCAGUUCCGACCCACCAGAGGCCCCCUGCACUGGUCCUCCAUCAGCUCCCCAGGAGCUUUGGUUUGAGGUGCAAGGCUCAGCACUCAUGCUACACUGGCGCCUGCCUCGGGAGCUGGGGGGUCGAGGAGACCUGCUCUUCAAUGUCGUGUGCAAGGAGUGUGAAGGCCACCAGGAGCCUGCCAGCGAUGGUGGGGGCACUUGUCGCCGCUGCAGGGAUGAGGUCCACUUCGACCCUCGUCAGAGAGGCCUGACUGAGAGCCGAGUGUUAGUGGGGGGACUCCGGGCACAUGUACCCUACAUCUUAGAGGUGCAGGCUGUCAAUGGGGUGUCUGAGCUCAGCCCUGACCCUCCUCAGGCUGCAGCCAUCAAUGUCAGCACCAGCCAUGAAGGUGAGCCCUUUUCCUUGGCCUUCAGGAUCCCCUGCCUCUGCUCCUUUGAGCCCCCCUCCCUACUCCUGAUCUCCAGCCUGGUCCACCCCUGCCACCCUCCCCUCAAGGCUGACCCUGCUCCCAGGGACUCCUAUCCCCAUAAUAAUUUUCCUUUUGCACUCUAGUGCCCUCUGCUGUCCCUGUGGUGCACCAGGUGAGCCGGGCAUCCAACAGCAUCACGGUGUCCUGGCCGCAGCCCGACCAGACCAAUGGGAACAUCCUGGACUAUCAGCUCCGCUACUAUGACCAGGCAGAAGACGAAUCCCACUCCUUCACCCUGACCAGCGAGACCAACACUGCCACCGUGACACAGCUGAGCCCUGGCCACAUCUAUGGUUUCCAGGUGCGGGCCCGGACUGCUGCCGGCCACGGCCCCUACGGGGGCAAAGUCUAUUUCCAGACGCUUCCUCAAGGGGAGCUGUCCUCCCAGCUUCCGGAAAGACUCUCCUUGGUGAUCGGCUCCAUCCUGGGGGCUUUGGCCUUCCUCCUGUUGGCAGCCAUCACCGUGCUGGCGGUCGUCUUCCAGCGGAAGCGGCGUGGGACUGGCUACACGGAGCAGCUGCAGCAAUACAGCAGCCCAGGACUCGGGGUGAAGUAUUACAUCGACCCCUCCACCUACGAGGACCCCUACCAGGCCAUCCGAGAACUUGCCCGGGAGGUCGAUCCUGCUUAUAUCAAGAUUGAGGAGGUCAUUGGGACAGGCUCUUUUGGAGAAGUGCGCCGGGGCCGCCUGCAGCCGCGGGGACGGAGGGAGCAGACCGUGGCCAUCCAGGCCCUGUGGGCCGGGGGCGCCGAAAGCCUGCAGAUGACCUUCCUGGGCCGGGCCGCGGUGCUGGGUCAGUUCCAGCACCCCAACAUCCUGCGGCUGGAGGGCGUGGUCACCAAGAGCCGACCCCUCAUGGUGCUGACGGAGUUCAUGGAGCUUGGCCCCCUGGACAGCUUCCUCAGGCAGCGGGAGGGCCAGUUCAGCAGCCUGCAGCUGGUGGCCAUGCAGCGGGGAGUGGCUGCUGCCAUGCAGUACCUGUCCAGCUUUGCCUUUGUCCAUCGCUCGCUAUCUGCCCACAGCGUGCUGGUGAAUAGCCACUUGGUGUGCAAGGUGGCCCGUCUUGGCCACAGUCCUCAGGGUCCAAGUUGUUUGCUUCGCUGGGCAGCCCCAGAGGUCAUUGCACAUGGAAAGCAUACAACAUCCAGUGAUGUCUGGAGCUUUGGGAUACUCAUGUGGGAAGUGAUGAGUUAUGGAGAACGGCCUUACUGGGACAUGAGUGAGCAGGAGGUACUAAAUGCAAUAGAGCAGGAGUUCCGGCUGCCCCCGCCUCCAGGCUGUCCUCCUGGAUUACAUCUACUUAUGUUGGACACUUGGCAGAAGGACCGUGCCCGGCGGCCUCAUUUUGACCAGCUGGUGGCUGCAUUUGACAAGAUGAUCCGCAAGCCAGAUACCCUGCAGGCUGGCAGGGACCCAGGGGAAAGGCCUUCCCAGGCCCUUCUGACCCCUGUGGCCCUGGACUUUCCUUGUCUGGACUCACCCCAGGCCUGGCUUUCAGCCAUUGGACUGGAGUGCUACCAGGACAACUUCUCCAAGUUUGGCCUCUGUACCUUCAGUGAUGUGGCUCAGCUCAGCCUGGAAGACCUGCCUGCCCUGGGCAUCACCCUGGCUGGCCACCAGAAGAAGCUGCUGCACCACAUCCAGCUCCUUCAGCAACACCUGAGGCAGCAGGGCUCAGUGGAGGUCUGAGAAUGACGAUGCCCGUGACUCAGCCCUGGACACUGGUCUGAGGGACAUGUGGGAUGUGAGCCGGGCUCCAACAGCCUCUGUGAGAGAUGCCCCACACCAAACUCAACCCUCCCGAUGGCUGCAUUCUCUGGUCCUCCGCCUCUCCACCAGCCUCCUCCUCAUUAAAUGGAAAGAAGGGAAUUUGCAA